rnacentral:rRNA from 1 species
UACGUAGGGUGCGAGCGUUGUCCGGAAUUAUUGGGCGUAAAGAGCUUGUAGGUGGUUUGUCGCGUCUGCUGUGAAAAAUCCGAGGCUCAACCUCGGACUUGCAGUGGGUACGGGCAGACUAGAGUGGUGGGUAGGGGAGACUGGAAUUCCUGGUGUAGCGGUGGAAUGCGCAGAUAUCAGGAGGAACACCGAUGGCGAAGGCAGGUCUC